rnacentral:lncRNA from 1 species
UUUAAGAAAUUUUUGUGUUUAAUCACUGUUUAUAUUUGGUUCCAUUGCAGGGGGUCAAAGGUGACAGAGGUCCUCCAGGAGCACCUGGAGAUAAAGGUGAAAAGGGCCCCCCAGGACCUCCUGGUUAUCCAGGGGCAGCGGGAGCUAUGGGUCAACCUGGUAAUGAUGGAAACCCUGGACCUAUUGGACCACCUGGAGCUCCUGGAGAAAAGGCAAGGCUAAUUUUUUUCUGUGAUUUAAAUGUCUA